AACUUGGUCAAAAGACGGAUUAUUCGAACGAUUAGGGCAACAACUCACUUUCUCUCCUCUCUAUCAGACUCCUUCACUCCUUCAACAAUGUGAUUUUUUUUUCUUUAAAUACAAAAAUCGGGCGUGAAUCUAGGAUUAUUGUAUGAAAAUUAGAUCAAAAUUGCAAGAUUUUUGCUGCAUAACUCUGAAAUUCGAAGUCGUAUGUUGCUGCUCCAUAAGAUUCUCAGGCGAAAGGGUCGACAAGAAUUUAUGUGGUAAAAGUUCUCAUAAAGAUUCAGUUUUUAUUAGUCUUCGUGCUUGAUCCAAAAGGCAUUUCAAGGUCUGGAACAUGGACAAUCUAAAACGUGAUUGGAUGUACAAAAGGUUGGAUGGCCGAGGGGUUAUUAAUUCAAGUUUCAUAACUGGUGUGAACAAAUUUCUCCAGUUUGCUUGUUCUCAGCGCAAUCGCAUGAGUGAUGACAAUGUUAGAUGUCCAUGUAAAAAAUGUCACAACAUUAAAUACUUGGAUGCUGAACUGUUAAAUUACACAUUUAUCAAUAUGAAUUUGUUGAGAACUAUUUUCUUUGGAAGUAUCAAGGAGAAAAAAAUGUGAUCGGUGAGAUGUCUUCUAGUGGUGAUUUGCAUGGUGGCGCUCAACCUGAAUCUGGAUAUGAGAAUCCAUAUCGACAAAUGGUCUUGGAUGCAGCUGGACCUAAUUUUGGCCAUGGUUUGAGCUAGCAGUCGUAUAAUAAUACUGAACCUGAGUUGUCUCAUUCUUAUGAACUUCAAUGCCGGCAGAGCCUAAUCCUUCAAUGGAGGAGGAGCCAAAUCUUGAGUGCCAAAGGUUUUAUGAUUUGUUACAGGCCGCUGAUGCAAAAUAAUACCCUGGUUCUUCCCUCUCUCAACUCACAGUGAUUUCUAGGAUGCUAAAUAGAUACUUUAUCACAAAGAGGUUAUAACCAAAUGAUGCAAUUGAUGAAAGAGGCUUUACCAGAAGAUAACACAAUGCUUGAUAACUAUUACGAGACCAAGAAGCUAGUGCGUAGCUUGGGUUUGCUAAUUGAAAAGAUUGAUUGUUGUAAUUUUGGAUGUAUGUUGUAUUGGGGUGAAGAUGAGGACCUCACAUCUUGCAUGUUUUGUGGCCACCAGAGGUACAAACGUUGUGUCGGUUCUCGUAAGAGGAAAUUAAUCCCUUACAAAAAAAUGUAUUAUUUUCCUUUGAUUCCUAGAUUGCGGAGAUUAUAUGCAUGUCAUGCUACAACCGCUGAUAUGAAAUGACAUCAUGAGCACAUACAAGAGGAGGGCGUAAUGCGUCAUCCAUCAGACUCUAAGGCUUGGAAGCAUUUCAAUAAAACUCAUCCCUUUUUUGCUGCUGAACCAAGAAAUGUGAGGUUUGGAUUAUGUACUGAUGGUUUUCAACCCUUUGGUCAUUCAGGGAGGAAAUACUCAUCAUGGCCAGUGAUUGUCACUCCAUACAAUUUGCCUCCAGGGAUGUGUAUGAAAGAGGUGUACAUGUUCUUAACUGUCAUUGUUCCAGGGCCAAACAACCGUAAACAAAAAAUUGAUGUUUAUCUACAACCUUUAAUAAAGGAAUUAACCUUGUUGUGGGAGACGGGUGUAGAAGCAUUUGACAUCUCAAAAAAACAAAAUUUUCAAUUAAGGGCCGCUUUGAUGUGGACAAUCAAUGACUUUCCAGCAUAUUCUAUGUUAUCUGGAUGGAGUACUGCCGGUAACUUAGCAUGUCCUUAUUGUAUGGAGGAAGCACAAUCCUUCAGAUUACGUCAUGGUGGGAAAACAACUUAGUUUGACAGUCAUAGAAUGUUUCCUGACCAAAAUCAUCCAUUUAGGAGAGAUCGUAAAAACUUUCAUAAAGGCCAGUCUGUCAGAAGGCUACCACCACCCCUUAGAACAGGAGAAGAAAUCUUGAAGCAAAUUUGU